rnacentral:lncRNA from 1 species
CAGAAAGUCAUUUGUCAAAUCAAGCGGUUGGAAGUUUCUACAAAGUCCGGAGCCUCAGGAAGAAAGACAGGCAUGGCUGGUCCAUCAGCAGCUGUACUGAGAUGGAAUAGACGGGCUGGGAAGGCUCCGUAGGAUGGGGAGCUUCAUUACUGGAGUGUUGGCAUAUGGUCUGUUGGGGUCUGAACUGUAUAGUUUUGGUGGACAAAUGUGGGAGAUGGGAAACACAAUUAAACUGACAUUCAUAAAGUACCCAUGAUGUGCCAGGCAUAGAGUGAGGUGAAGUCCAGCUGUCUGUCAGUCAUGAAGGAAGCAGAGGAGGCUGGUUUGGCCAGGACUGUUGCCUGCCUCUGGUAUGGUCCUGGGAGGUAGAGGAGAGAUGGGAAUGGAGGAAAAGAAGACCUUGCUCACCCACCCAACUGGGCAGUCAAGUUACUCAAAGGGAACUUUAGGAAAACCGGGCAAGAAUGAGAAGAAAGCAACAAAAUCAGUUGGAGCUAAAAAGUAGGUUCUUCUAAGGAAAAACAAAAGGUGGGCUGUGGAUCUAGUAACUGUGAUCACACAUGAGGAUGCAGAAUAACAAUCAUGUCCAGGAUACCUCAAGAGUUUCUUGGGUAUUAUGUUAAGUGCUUUCUGUGACAUAUGUGACUUCCUCUUCAAAACUACCAUAUGAAGAAGAUACUGUUGUCACCCACAUUUUACAAUGGAGCAAUCUCAGUCUGGAGGAUUUUCUAGCCUCUAGAAUCAAGCAAGAAAUACAAUUAGUUACAUAUUUACUGGGACGAUAACAUCAGAACAAAUUAGUAGCUUAAGAGAACAUAAAUAUACCUGGUAUUGAGAUUAGCUCAAAUGUCUCUUUAAAGAUAUGUGGAUGAUCCACCAUUGCAGAAUAACACAAUUUAAAAACCAUAUUAUGCCAGAAUCUACAUCCAAAUGAGUGCUGGGCUGUUAAGAAGAUCUGCGCCCCCUUCACCUCCUGCCCAAUGUUAACAGCAUAAAAACUGGAGCUCCAGGAGGACGGUAGUUCUCACUUCCAGUGAAGGGGUGCUGGUGUGUGGAUGGAAAUUUGUCCUGCCUGGAAAUUGUAGCUGACUUCUAAUGACACCAGCACAGCUGGACAUGUGAAUAUCCUCUGUGGUAGCAGAUGGUCAUCCUGGGGGAAAUGGCUUCAAUUUUUGGAAGUUGAGGUCCAGUGAAUAAAGUCAAUGCUUUUAUAAACUUACCUUUGGAGGGAGAAAUGACAAGGCCGAUUUUCUUUUAUGGUCUAUAAAUCAACUAGAUUCCUAGAAAGAGAUUCCAAAAAUCUUUUGGCGGCAGCCUUGGAAUAAGUGUGUAUGGAUUCCCAAGAUGAGAGCUUUGGAGAUAGUGUUCAUUUGUAGGAAUAAGUCCUGAUGUUUCAGUAAAUAAUCAAUUCUGUUAUCUUGUAUGUCUUUUUUCCCUGAUUAAAAUAUAAGAUCCUGAAGGCUGGGAGGCCAGAGUGGAUGCAU